CCAAGCUACAAAGAGCCAACGGUGGAUGCCUUGGCGCCAAUGACCGAUGAAGGACGUGGGUGACUGCGAAAUGCUACGAGGAGCCGUCUACCAGGCUUUGAUCCGUAGAUAUCCGAAUGAGGAAACUCGGCACCCGUAAUGGGGUGUCACUCUGGAGUGAAUACAUAGCUCCAGUGGAGGGAACCGGGGGAAUUGAAACAUCUCAGUACCCCGAGGAAAGUAAAGCAAACGCGACUCCCUUAGUAGCGGCGAGCGAAAAGGGAAGAGACCAAACCGUGUCGGUGUAAUAUCCUGAUGGAGUUGCCGACGCGGGGUUGUGGGACGUUUAGACACCGCAUCAGAGGUGUCACGAAGUUAACAAGUUGCUGCGUAGUGGAACAGUUUCGGAAAAGCUGGCCAUAGUGGGUAAAAGCCCCGUACGCGAAACGCACGCAACCUUCGAAACCAAUCCCAAGUAAUGCCGGGACCGAGCAAACUGGCAUGAAUCUGUGGGGACCACCCCAUAAGUCUAAGUAUUUAUUGGCGACCGAUAGUGAACCAGUACCG
rnacentral:rRNA from 1 species